rnacentral:rRNA from 1 species
GUUUGAUCCUGGCUCAGGAUGAACGCUAGCUACAGGCUUAACACAUGCAAGUCGAGGGGAAACGAUAUUGAAAGCUUGCUUUCGAUAGGCGUCGACCGGCGCACGGGUGAGUAACGCGUAUCCAACCUGCCCAUAACUAAGGGAUAAUCCGUAGAAAUGCGGUCUAAUACCUUAUGUGAUCCGAGGAAGACAUCUGAUUUGGAUUAAAGAUUUAUCGGUUAUGGAUGGGGAUGCGUCUGAUUAGAUUGUUGGCGGGGCAACGGCCCACCAAGUCUGCGAUCAGUAGGGGUUCUGAGAGGAAGGUCCCCCACAUUGGAACUGAGACACGGUCCAAACUCCUACGGGAGGCAGCAGUGAGGAAUAUUGGUCAAUGGGCGGGAGCCUGAACCAGCCAAGUAGCGUGCAGGAUGACGGCCCUAUGGGUUGUAAACUGCUUUUGUAUGGGGAUAAAUUGCUCCACGUGUGGAGUAUUGCAGGUACCAUACGAAUAAGGACCGGCUAAUUCCGUGCCAGCAGCCGCGGUAAUACGGAAGGUCCGGGCGUUAUCCGGAUUUAUUGGGUUUAAAGGGAGCGUAGGCCGUGGAUUAAGUGUGUUGUGAAAUGUAGGCGCUCAACGUCUGACUUGCAGCGCAUACUGGNCCACUAGAGUGCGCGCAACGCGGGCGGAAUUUGUCGUGUAGCGNGAAAUGCUUAGAUAUGACGAAGAACCCCGAUUGCGAAGGCAGCUCGCGG